AAAUGAAUAGACGGGGGCCCGCACAAGCGGAGGAACAUGUGGUUUAAUUCGAUGAUACGCGAGGAACCUUACCCGGGUUUGAAAUGCAUCUGACGAUAGUGGAAACAUUAUUUCUAGCAAUAGCAGAUGUGUAGGUGCUGCAUGGUUGUCGUCAGCUCGUGCCGUGAGGUGUCGGCUUAAGUGCCAUAACGAGCGCAACCCUUAUAGUUAGUUGCUAACAGGUCAAGCUGAGGACUCUAAUUAGACUGCCACCGUAAGGUGCGAGGAAGGUGGGGAUGACGUCAAAUCAGCACGGCCCUUAUGUCCGGGGCGACACACGUGUUACAAUGGAUGGGACAGCGGGUAGCUACCAGGCGACUGGAUGCCAAUCUCUGAAACCCAUUCUCAGUUCGGAUCGGAGUCUGUAACUCGACUCCGUGAAGCUGGAUUCGCUAGUAAUCGCGCAUCAGCCAUGGCGCGGUGAAUACGUUCCCGGGCCUUGUACACACCGCCCGU
rnacentral:rRNA from 1 species